AAGUUGCAAUAUUUUUUUUUGAUUAAAUAGCAUAAUGUUCAUUAUUUAUUUUGUGACGUGGAUUAUUCUUGAUUAAUUUGAUAUAUUAUUUUUAUCUGCAUUGGAUGAGAUGAUUAUUAGUCUUUUUAAAAGGCGAAAUUUUCGAUUUGAAGAUGCAGUGAGAAAUUAUAUUAUCAAAUUGAAUUGAGAAUAAGAUUUGGAUAUUUGUGCCUAAUUUAAAAUCAUGUGCAUUAUUGUAGUGAUAUAUGGCUUCAAAAAAUUUUUCCAUCGCGGAUUCGUUAAAUCAAAAUCGGCUUGAUGGAACGAAUUAUGACAUGUGGCAUAGAAAAAUUCAAUAUCUCCUUAAUGAGAAAGGGAUACUUAGCCAUUUAACCAACAGUAUGGUUCGGCCUGAAGAAGGCACGACGGCCCAGCACCGUCGCGAUUUACAAGCCUAUAACGAGUGGCUUGAGAAAGAUCGAAGUGCACGAUAUACCAUGUUGAGCUGUAUGCACGAUGAUUUGAUCAAAGAAUUUGAAAAUUAUGAGACUGCUAAAAAUAUGUGGGAGCAGCUCAAAGUGAAAUAUGGGGGCACGUCGACCACAAGACUUCGUGUCUUGAAUCUCAAAUUCAAUCAAUACAUGUUGGACCCAAAGCAUUCUAUGGCAGAGCACUUAAGGGUGAUGUCUGCAAUGAUAAGAGAACUUAAAGCAGCCGGUUGCGAGCUCACUGACGAACAACAGGUUCAAUCAGUUAUAAGGUCCUUACCAGAUUCAUCUUGGGAUCAAAUCAAGAUUGUGCUGACUCAUAAUGAAGGUAUUAAGACCUUCAACGAUAUAUCUCGACAUCUUGAGUUGGAAGCGGAGCGCAGAGAGGCGAACCGUGCCAAUGCACUCGUUGCCCACGGUGGACAGCGCAGAGGCAAGUGGCCUAAGCACAAGCGCCGAAAUGGAGAAAAUAAAUAUGCAAAGACUGGGAACCGUGCGCCAAAUGAGGGCGGAAUUGAGAAGCGCCGCAAAGGCAGGCGCGGAAAGAAAAAUUUAAAUAAAGUGAAAUGCUAUAACUGUGGAAAUAUGGGACACUUCGCUCGUGAUUGCACUGAGCCGAAGAAGGUAAAUCCCAAUCCUGACUCUCUUAUUUAUGUAUGCUCGCACGUUUUUGUUGCUCACGCUCUCUCUGAUUGGAUUGUAGACACAGGAGCAACAAAGCAUGUAACGAGAGAUCGAGCAGGAUAUGUGGAUUAUCGUCGGGUGUCUGCUGGCAGCCAUUAUGUCAUGAUGGGAAACGGCACUGAGGAAGAAGUCCUUGGAAUUGGCGCAUACCAACUUAGAUUGCGCAAUGGUCGUUAUUUGAUAUUACACGAUGUGCUGUAUGCACCGAACAUCCGAUGUAAUCUACUGUCAGUUUUAGCGUUACUUAGAUUAGGUUUUUCUUUUCAAUUUACGGAUACUCAGUUAGAUAUUUAUUUGGGCAAGGACUUUUAUGGUAAUGGUUGUUUAAAGAAUGAUUUCUUUGUCUUAAAUUUAGACUUGGAUUUUAUUAAUAACAAUAAUUCUGCUUUAUUAGUUUCUUCUGAUAUUGUAUCUGAUUCUAUCAAAUGGCAUGCGAGAUUGGGUCACAUUGGACAAGAAAGAAUGGCUCGACUAGCUAGAGAAGGCCUGUUGGGGUCACUCGCUAAGCUUAGCCUACCUCCUUGUGAACCAUGUUUAGCAGGAAAAGCCUGCAGAAAGCCUUUUGGUAAGGCACGUAGAGCAACUCAUCCAUUGGAGCUAGUUCAUUCAGACAUAUGCGGACCUAUGAAUGUGAGAGCACGUCAUGGCGCGUACUAUUUCCUCACUUUCAUUGAUGACUACUCCCGUUAUAGUUCGGUAUAUCUGUUGUCUCACCGUUCAGAAGCUUUAGAUUAUUUUAAACGCUUCUUAGUGGAGGUUGAGAACCAAACAGAAAGAACUCUAAAAGUUCUACGUACUGAUAGAGGACGAGAGUAUUUAUCAGACCAGUUCAGGGAACUAUGUGAGGAAAAGGGAAUACGCAGACAGUUAACUAUUCCCGGUACUCCGCAACAAAAUGGUGUUGCAGAGAGGAGGAAUAGGACUCUUUUGGAAAUGGUUAGGUCUAUGAUGGCGCAAGCCAACCUCCCAAUCAGUUUUUGGGGUGAUGCGUUGUUGACUGCUGCCUAUAUACUUAACCGAGUGCCCUCUAAGUCAGUUCCUUCAACUCCCUAUGAGCUAUGGCAUGGUAUAAAGCCAAAUUUGGAAGGCUUACGACCAUGGGGAUCGGCAGGAUAUGUGCAUAAUACUUCUCAUAAAUAUGGAAAGUUAGGCCCUAGAGCAAAUAAACAAAUUUUUAUUAGAUAUUCUGAUUGCUCGAAAGGCUAUGUGAUGUAUGGUAAGCAUCCUGAUGGAGGAAUGACUGAGAUAGAGUCGCGCGAUGUGGAUUUUCUUGAGAAUGAUUUUCCAGACAUUGGUGAGAUUAAAAAGGACCUUGCACUAUACGAGUUGCAAGAACCUAAUGGAAAUGUCCCAUUGUUAGGCGAGAAUGAGGCACUGAGGCCACAUGAAGAAAUAGCCCAAAACAGUGGGAGUGAUCCUAUGGUCAGUGGGAGUGUGCCGAUUGACCAUGGCUCACAAAGUCCAUCAUUACGAAGAAGUAAACGUGGAGGUGUUCCCCGUCGUCGAUUUGAGAUUGAAGGGGAAUCGUUCAUGUGUGCUUCUACGGAUCUUGAUGAGCCGGCUUCUUAUGCUGAAGCUUUGAAUUCACCAGUUUGUGAUAAAUGGCUAGCUGCUAUGGAGGAUGAGAUGAGUUCUAUGGCUAAGAAUAAUGUGUGGGAGUUAGUUGAUCUUCCGUCUGGACGCAAAACUAUUGGAAAUAAAUGGAUUUUUAAAAUAAAACGUAAGGCGGAUGGAUCAAUUGACAAAUAUAAGGCCCGAUUAGUGGCGAAAGGAUACACCCAAAAGGAGGGAGUAGACUAUGAAGAGACAUUCUCCCCAGUGGUGAGGUUUGUCUCAAUUCGCCUGAUUCUGGCUAUCGUCGCACAUUUAGAUUUGGAACUGUUCCAAAUGGAUGUGAAGACUGCAUUUCUCAAUGGAGAACUAGAUGAGGAGAUUUAUAUGAAUCAACCUCCCGGUUUUAUAGCCGAAGGACAAGAGCGCAAAGUGUGCCGCUUAAAACGUUCCAUUUACGGCUUGAAACAAUCGUCUAGGCAAUGGUAUCAACGUUUUCAUAGAGCAAUUAUUUCAAUAGGCUUUGUGAUGAUCGAAGAAGACCAUUGCGUGUACGUUAAAAGGGAAGAAAAGAGUUUUCUUAUCCUAUAUGUAGACGAUAUCUUGUUGGCCGGAAAUAAUAUGGAGUUAAUAAUCACCACACAGGAGUGGUUGUCCUCUACUUUUGAGAUGAAGGACAUGGGACAAGCGGAUUAUGUAUUGGGAGUCAAGAUCCAUAGGGAUCGAUCUCGAAAAUUCUUAAGUUUGUCUCAAGAGACUUACAUCAAAAGAAUUUUGAAGCGAUUCCGAAUGCAUAAUUUGAAACCUAUUGACACUCCAAUGGAAAAUGGUCAUUAUCUUAGCCUUGAACAGUGCCUUAAAACAGAAGAAGAGAGAAAGCAGAUGAAAAAAGUCCCAUAUGCGAGUGCAGUCGGCAGCUUGAUGUAUGCAAUGAUAUGAUAGCAGAUCCUUUUACCAAACCCCUUGUUAGAAAUGUUUUUCAUAAACAUGUUAGAGGAUUGGGUUUGUGUAGGACUUGACUUUUAUCUUGUAUUAAUAAUUUUGCUAAUAAAUUUUUUUUUGAAAUCAUUUUUCAUUUAUAUACCUGUUUAUUAAAUUUUAAAUUAGUGCACAAUAUUCUUAUGAGAAUGAAUGUCACCAGGCCCUUGAUCAGCCCUCUCACACGGGUGAUCGCCCUGUCGCUAGGAGAGCGAGCAGGAUGAGACAAAUAAGAUCACAUAAAUGCAGUUAGUAAUGCAGGUGAUCCACUUUGCGCUAUAAGAGCUGGCGAGUGUUUAAAUCUUGAAUGUCGCCUUAGAUGAGCUAAGAUGAGACUGUACGAAGUCGACAGUAGAGAUGGUCCACGACUCUACUUGGCCUGUAUGAAGCCGAAUGUAAAGAAGACACCAUGUGGGUGACUGUCUUGAGGUUUGUUGUCUUGAGUUACAACAAAACCGACAUUCGUAUGGUGUUUUGAGCGUGACAUGUCCUUAGAGGUAGCUCCACCAUAGCAUACGUUCAUACCGUAUGUGCAAGAUCGAUCACUAUGUUUUAGAGAGUGACGAAAUUGAUUCCCGUUUCGUCGCUGUGUGAGCUUUCAUACCCUUUGGGACUUAGAACCAUGUUAUGAAGUGGAUACUUGGUGAUGCUACUUUAGCAUGAUAUCCAAGGGCCAUGAUUGAUUCGGUCCAGCGGAACAUGUCUAGGAAAGCAGUCAAGUUGAAAUGGAUUGACAUGAGGCAUCUAAGGAAAAAUCAUUUGAUAAUACACCUAUGAUUUGUUACUCAUUGCCCGGGCGAUUAUGUUGAUAUUUGUUGUCAAUAUAAUCAUGAGAACAAAUACAUUAAUGAGAGAGAUCUAGUUUGCUCUAAGGGAUCAGAGAUGCUAUGAUCUGGUGUAGUUCAGUGAUUUGGGGUAUAGACGAGAUUUGGAGUUGUAGUGUUAUGUUAGUUCGGAUGGUGGCUUAAUAUAACACUCCUCAUUUAUGAUUCUUCUCGUUAUUGAUCGCACCAACCAUUUCCCGUAUGAAGAGCAGAACGAGAUGAGAAUAUAUCAGGGAUGAGAAAGUAUGAAUAAGUACCAAGUGUGUACGAGUGGGAGAUGUUAGGAUUCGUCCACAUUGGGACUUAUCUAAAAUAUUUCUAAUCCAUAUGGGAUAAGAAAUAAAUAUUUAUAAUUAUCUGUUAUAUUCCUAGUCCACUUGGGAUAAGGAAUAAAUCUAACAGAUAAAUCCUAAUCUGUUUAAAUCUCUAUCUAUGUGAGAUUUAGUUAGGAUAUGAUUAGGAUUAAUAUCUCCCUUAUGGCCUAUAAAUACAUGAGGUAUUGACCACAUACAAGACAACGAAAAAAAUAAGAAUCAUCUCUCCACAAAAAUUCUCUCUCUUUGGUUCGCUCUAGGGCACCAUCAUAAAUCCUAGGGAUUUGGGCGGUGUGCGGCAAUCGACUCUAGUAGUCGGAUUGCAACGAGAAAGAACAAUACGCAACAAAUUGAGACAGGACGUUGGCGGAUCAACGAGUUCGUAAAACAAGACGAGAUCAGAUCCUGGUAAUCACAACAUUAAUUCCGCACCACAAAAGAGGUAUGUAAAAAUCUAUAAGAUUUUUGCGACUUAUAUUUUUGGAUAUUUAAUUGAUUUUAUUCAACAGGCUUGUUAUUACUGAUAUGGUGCAAGUGUGAUAUAGUAGACUUCCUCCCCAAGAAGCUAGUCUUCAGUGCAUUAAAGAAGAGAAUCUUGGAAGAGCUCGACCACUAGUGCUAAAUUCAGCUUUUUGCCCUAGGACGGCGACUUUGUAGCUUUCUAUUAGUUCUUCUUAUUGCUUUUGUUUCCUAGAGAUAACAAUAUUAGCCAUUGAAAGUGUAGGAUAAAUUAAUCCAUUGUUAUACGUAAGAGCUCAGAAGCCUUCUUAUCGCAUAUGACUAUUUAUGUUUGAAAAAUGCAAAGUUUAUAACUAGAAAAGGAUAAUCAUUUCCACUGCUUCUCAUACAAAGGUUCUGGAGUCUACUUGUAUUUUAGAUGUGAGUACAUUGUAAGAUUAUAACCCACCCACUUUGAAUUAUAAACCUGAGAUACCUUAAUAAUCUCACGUCACAUAAUGUGGGAACCGUUGGUUUGAGUCCAAUGAGUUUUUUGUGUUAGUUGGUAAGCUUUUUUUCUUUAAUUAAAUAUUGAUGAGUUGGAUUUUUUUUUUCUUUGAUUAUAUAUUUAGCUAAGUCUCAUAUAGGUCAACUAAAUUUGAGCAAGUGCCAAAGAACUUGGUGGUAGGUACCCAAGGUCCCAAGUUCGAAUCCUAGUUGAUUCACAUCUUCAGCUAAAUUUAUUUCUAAAUGAAAUCAACGAACCGGGUAGCGUGCUAUCUAUCUCUCAAAAAAAAAAAAAAAAAAAAAAAAAAAAAAAAAAAAAAAAAAAAAAAAAAAAAAAACUAAAUUUGCAUAAAUUUCUAUCACUGUUUCCUUUUUAUUGUGAUUUGUGAGCAAUAUUUUAUGAAGGAAGGAGAUGCAAAUGGAAGGGCAAGUGGAUAUACAAUUGACAAGCAUGUUCACUCUUCUUUUUUUUUUUUACUUUGCCGCAGAAAGUAGAAAUAGAAAGUAGAAAGUAGAAAGAGAGAACUAAUUCAAGGGGAAAGGAAAGAAGCUUCCUCGCCUCGGUGUCCUGCACAUGGGCUUCACUAGUUAUAUGAUAAGCUUUCCUACAGUGCUACCUAUCUCUUGAACAUGAUCACCUAUAACUUUUACAUAUUUUUUUAAUUUUGAAAAUCUAAUCUAGCUUUUUGCUUCAUCCAUUGUUUUAAUUUCUAGAAAAGUUUAAUCCAACUUUGCUACACACACACACACACACACACACACACACACACACACACACAUAUAUAUAUAUAUAUAUAUAUAUAUAUAUAGAGAAGAAGAAAGAGAGGAGCAAGAAUACUAUGGAUAGCAUAUGGAGUUCAUUGCUAUCAUUUUUUUUUUCCAAUAAGGGAGCAUUCGAAUAAUUGAUCAUAACCAUUGAACAUGAUUUGAAUCAAUAAAAGUAUUUAGAUAUUAAAUUUCUUACGUUUUCAACAUUAUUAACCAAAUAAUCAAGUGGUUGCAAAAUUUUUACUUUUAAUUGUUGAUACGAGGAAUUCGCUCUUUUAAUAGUGGAAAAGAAUUCAAAUCAAUUGAAUUUUUAUUAGAAAAUUUGUAAACUACUUGAAAUAUCUACACCCUUGAUCUUGAGUACAAGAAUUCUAUCAUUAUCACUUUUUGAAGGAUAUUUAUUUUUAACGAUUCAUUUUUGUGCCCACUUGAUGUCCAAAAAAUAAUAUUAAAAAAUUAUAAAAUUUUAUUCUAGAUCCUUUAAGUAGUCUAGAUUAUUUUCAAUAGUGCACGCUGAUUAUCAAUUUAGAAGCUCCAUCAUAAAAAAUGAAUUGGUUCUAAAAGAGUGUGUUUGCUACUAAUAAUAUGCCAGCGAAACAUAAGUAAGCUGACUCCAGCAAGUAGAAGAAGAAUAAUAUUAAUAAAUAUUUCAAAACUUUAAAAUAUCUAACAUAAAUGCCUUUAUUGAUUCUAAAAGUUUCUUCCAAUGUAUCUCUAAGUUUAGGAUUUUGAGAAGAGAGAAUAAAUUUAAAAAUUUUGAAUAGAUGUGAGUAGGGGUGUCAACGUGGCUCGUUUUCGGCUCGUUUCAUAGACGAGCUGUUCUUGAGCAGACUUAUUAAAGUAUCGAGCCGAAAAAUUUAGCUCAUGUUUGGCUCAUUUAUUAACGAGUCGAAUACGAGUUGACUCACAAACAAUAAGUUAAAAGAUUAGAAAGGACAUAUAUAGGAUAUAAAUUUUCGAGAUUUUACCUAUUAGACUUUGAUCUAACAUUUGAAACUUUAUACAUAUAAAUGAAUUUUUUUAUAAUUGAGUUAGGUUUUAUAUUUAGGUUGGACUAAAAAUCAAAUAAUAAAAAUUUAUAAAAUAUUAUAUAUAAUUAUUUAUUUAUAUAUAUAAAUAUAAAAUAUAUAUAUUCGAGCUAUUAUUGAGCCGAAUACGAACGAGCUAGCCAACCCUAUCUCGUGUUCCGUUUGUUUAUUAAACAAGCUGAAAAAUUCAGAUCGUGUUCGACUCAUUUACUAAACGAGCGAUUUGAUGUCGAGUUCAUUUCGAGCCGAUAAUAAACCGGCUUACGAAAAGCGACNUAUAUAUAUAUAUAUGAGCUAGAAUGCUAUCAAUAGCAAACGGACUCCGUUGCCACCUAUUUGUUUUCAAUGAUGAAGCCUCUGAAUUGACGAUCGACACCAUUUAACAUGAUCUAUACAACUUGAAGUAUUUAUAAAUCAAAUUUCAUACAUUUCCGAUAUUGUUCUCUUAUCCAUCGAGUGCACACAAAAAUAAACGGUUGAAAAUGAAUAUUCUUUAAAAAAUGAUGAUAAAAUACUUGAAUUUAAGAUCAAAAGUACUGAUCUUACUCUAAAUAGUGAAAAGAAUUUUCUAUAAAAAUUUUAUGAGAUUUGGAUUGUUUUACACCGUUAAAUUCACAAACGCAUCACAUCGCCAUUAAAAUUGUCAUUUUUGAGACCUUUUGAUCACUAGCCAAAUGAUGUCGAAAAAUUAUGAAAUUUAAUUUUCAAAUACUUUCAAUGAUGUAGAUCAAUUCUAACAGAGUCGAUCAUCGAUUUGAAAGCCGCAUCAUUGAAAACAACUUGGUAUAUAUAUAGAGAGAGAGAGAGAGCAAGAGAGCUAGGCUCCUAUGCUUUUGAAAGUACGGGAGCCUCCGUACUUGUAAGUUGUUUUCGGUGAUGGGACGUCCGAUUCGGCGAUCGGUUCCGUUAGACAUAAUCUACGCUAUUGGAACUAUCUAGAAACCAAAUUUCAUAAUUUUUUGACUUCGUUUGCCUAGUGAACAAGUAGCCUCAAAAUGAACGGAAAAUAAAAAUCUCAUACAACAAUGAUAAAAGACUCAAAUUUUAAAUCGGAAGUAUUGAUCUUGCUAUUGACGUUAAGUGGGAUUUUCUAUUAAAUUUUCAUGUAAUUUGGAUACUUCUACACCAUUGAACUUAAAAACGUGUCGCAUCGGCCGUUAAAAUAGUCAUUUUUGGGGCCUUUUGAUCGCUUGGUAAAUGAUGUCAAAAAAUUAUAAAAUUUGGUUCUAGAUAGUUCCAAUAUGGUAAAUUAUACCUAACGGAGCCGAUCGUCGAAUCGGAUAUACUAUCAUUGAAAACAACUUACAAGCACGGAGGUUCUGGUACUUUCGAAAGUAUAGUAGACAGACUCUAUAGAGUAUAGGGCUACUAUACUCUUAUAUAUAGAGAGUAGGGCUACUAUACUCUUAUGAGUAUAGAGUCCUUCGUACUCAUAAGUUGUUUUCGAUGUUGAGGUUUUCGAAUCGACGAUCCACACCGUUAAAUAUGAUCUAGAGUAUUUGAAACUUUUAGAAAAUAAAUUUCAUAAUUUUUUGAAAUCAUUAUAAAGUUCAUCAAGCGGGUAUAAAAUGAACGGUCAAAAUCGAACGACAUCCUAAAAAUGGAUGAUCGGAUCAUAUAAUUUAAGAUCGGAGUUAUUGAUCUUUAUUUAGAUAGUGAAUAGAAUUUUCUAUCAAAAAUUCAACCUGUUCCGAUUCUUUUUCACCGUUAAAUUAGCAAAUAUCUCAUAUCGGCCGUUAAAAAUUGUCAAUUUUGUGAGCUUUUUGAUCGUAAGGUAAAUGAUAUCGAAAAAUUAUAAAAUUUAAUUUCUAAAAGUUUUAAAUGCUCUAGAUAAUGUUUAACGGUAUGGAUCGUUGAUUCAGAAGCUCUAUCAUCGAAAAUAAUUUAUGAGUACGAAAGCGAUCGUACUCAUAAGAGUAUAGUAGCCGGACUCUCUCUCUCUCUCUCUCUCUCUCUCUCUCUCUCUCUCUCUAUAUAUAUAUAUAUAUAUAUAUGAGUGCGACUAGGAUGCUUAUGGAGCACAGAGGGCUGCUGCUUCCAUUUAUUUUUCGAUGUUCGACUUUUCGAAUCGACGAUCGGCUCCGUUAGACUUGAUCUAGAGUAUUUGAAGUAUCUAGAAAAUAAAUUUUGCGAUUUUUCGAUAUCAUUUACCUAGUGAUCGAAGUGACUCAAAAUUAACGGCUGAAAAUAAAAAUCGUACAAAAUAUGAUGAUAUGACAUUAAAAUUUUAGAUCAAAUUUAUUGAUCUUGUUUUAUAUGGUAUAAAGAAUUUUCUAUCAAAAUUUCAUAUGAUUUGGAUAUUUCUACACGCGUUAAACUUGCAACCGGCUCACCACGGUCAUUAAAAUUAUUGAUUUUGAGGCCCUUCGAUCACUAGGCAAAUAAUAUUGAAAAAUCCAAAAUUUAUUUUCUAGGUACUUCAAAUACUCUAGAUCAACUCUAACCGAACCGAUCGUCGAUUCGAAAGUCCGAAUGUCGAAAACAACUUGGAAGCACGGAAGGCUCGUGCUUCCAUAAGCAUACCAGUAUAUAUAUAUAUAUAUAUAUAUAUAUAUAUAUAUAUAUAUAUAUAUAUAUAUAUAUAUAUAUAUCUAUAUAUAUAUAAUAGGUCUUGUGUGCUAUUAGGAGUAUGGGCCUCCGUGCUCUUAAGCCGUUUUGGAUGAUGGAGCUUCCGAAUCGACGAUCGCGCUCCAUUAGACUUGAUCUAACGUAUUUGAACUAUCUAGAAAAUAAAUUUUGUGAAUUUUCGAUAUUCAUUUACCUAACGAUCGAAAGAGAAAUCAACGGCUGAAAAUAAAAAUCUCACGAAAAAUGGUGAUAUAGUAUUAAAAUUUUCGAUUAAAACAUAUUGAUCUUGCUGUAAAUAGUAUAACAAAUUUUCUAUCAAAAUUUCUUCUGAUUGAAUACUUCUACACUAUUAAACUUGCAAACGGUAUACAUCAACUAUUAAAAAUUGUAUUUUGAACCCUUUCGAUCGCUAGAAAAUGAUACCGAAAAAUCACAAAAAUUAUUUUUAGAUAAUUCAAAUACGCCAGAUUAAGUCUAACGGAGCCGAUCGUCGAUUUGCAAGCUCCAUCAUCGAAAAACGACUUAGGAGCACAGAAGCCUCCGUGCUCCUAAUAGCACACAAGACCUACUAUAUAUAUAUAUAUAGAGUCCGGCUACUAUACUAUCGGUAGCACGGAGGGCUCCGUGCUACCAAGUUCUUUUCGAUGAUGCGCUUCCAAAUCGACGAUCGGCUCCGUUAGACUUGAUCUAUACUAUUGAAAGUAUUUGGAAACUAAAUUUCAGAUUUUUUUGACAUCAUUUAACUAGUGAUCAAAAGAUCUCAAAAUGACAAUUUUAAUGGCCGAUGUGGUGUGUUUGUGAGUUUAACGGUGUAAAACAAUCCAAAUCCGAUCAAAAUUUUAUAGAAAAUUUUUUCAUAUUUAGAGUAAGAUUAGUAUAUCUGAUCAUGAAUUUAAAUCUUUUAUCAUCAAUUUUUAUGAGAUUUUUAUUCUUCAGCUGUUCAAUUUUAGACUACUUGUUUGAUAGGUAAAUGAUAUCGAAAAAUUAAAAAAUUUAGUUUCUAAAUACUUUAAUAGUGAAGAUCAAGUCUAAUGGCCGAUUGUCAAUUUGGAAGCCGCUCAUCCGAAAACAACUUGGUAGCACGGAGCCCUCCGUGCUACCGAUAGUAUAGUAGCCUAGUUCAUAUAAAUAAAUAAAUAAAUAUAUAUAUAUAUAUUAUAGAGUUGGACUGGGCUACUAUAGUAGCAAAACUUCUCUUAUGUAGCACCGUUUUUUAGCCUUUGGAUCAACUCUUUCAUUAUUUCUAACCAUUGGAUAAAUACUAUAACCCAGUGGGGACCACUCAACCCUAGGAAACCACUUAAAUCUAACCGACUAAUAUCAUCCUGACCCUACAAUUUUUCAUCCAAGGGUUAAAAACUUGAUAGCAAAAAGAGCGUUUUACUAUUAAUAGUAUUCCAGCCUAAUUCUAUAUAUAUAUAUAUAUAUAUAUAUAUAUAUAUAUAUAUAUAUAUAUAUAUAUAAUAUAUAUAUUAGAGUGAGGCUACUAUGCUAUCGAAGCACGCGAGCUUCUGUGCUUCCAACUCGUUUUCAAUGUUGCGACUUUUGAAUCGGUUGAUCGGCUCUGUUAAACUUGAUCUAGAGUAUUUGAAGUACCUAGAAAAUAAAUUUUAUGAUUUUACGAUAUCAUUUGCCUAGUGAACGAAAGGGGCUCAAAAUCAACGGUUAAAAAUAAAAAUCUUACAAAAUGUAAUAGUACGACAUUAAAAUUUUAAAUCAAGAUAUUUAUCUUGUUUUAUAUAGUAUAAAGAAUUUUCUAUCAAAAUUUUCAGUGAUUUGGAUAUUUCUAUACUGUUAAACUUGCACAAGCACUCACUACGGCAUUGAAAUUUGUUGAUUUUGAGCCCAUUCGAUCACUAAGCAAAUGAUAUUGAAAAAUAAUAAAAUUUAUUUUCUAGGUACUCUAAAUACUCUAGAUCAAAUUUAACGGAGCCGAUCGACGAUUCGAAAGUCGCAACAUCGAAAACGAGCUGGAAGCCCGGAAGGCUCCGUGCUUCCGAAAGCAUAGUAGCCUCACUCAAUAUAUAUAUAUAUAUAUAUUAUAUAUAUAUAUAUAUAUAUAUAUAUAAUAUAUAUAUAUACAAUCCGACUAGGUACUAUCGAUAGCCCAAAGCAUUUGGUGCUAUCAAAUUUUCUGCCGUUGAUUUACCUCUUUUUAUCAUUUUCAUCCGUUUGAUUAUAGUAUUCAACCAAAAUACACUCAACCCUAGGGGGCCCAUCAUCCUAACCGCACACUUUUAAUCCAAUGGCGGAAAGCUUAAUAGCACCAAGUCAUUGGUGCUAUUAAUAGUAUUCCAGCUAUUAUAUAUAUAUAUAUAUAUAUAAUAUAUAUAUAUAUAUAUAUAUAUAUAUAUAUUAUAUAUAAUAUAUAUAUAUAUAUAUAUAAAGGCCAAUUUGCAUAAAAAAUUUAUAAAUUUUGAGCUUUUGCAAAACUGGGCCACUUUUUUGAUUUUGCAUAUUCGGUCUAAAUUUCAGCAAAACUGAAUAAAAUACCCUUAUUACUUUUUCUCUUUCUCUUUCUCUCAUCUUUUUUUCUUUCUUGUUUAUUUUUUUUCUCUCGCCGAAGAAAGCAGCGGAGGCAAAGCGAGGCGGAGACGGCUCAUCUCGCGUCUCACCCUCAUGCUCUCCCCUCGCCCACGCACCCCCCACAUUUCUCGCCUCCGACCCCGCCGAGGCCGGCCGUGACUCUUUUUUUUUUUUCUUCUCCGACUCUCCUCCACCAUCUACGACGACAACGCCUCUCUCGCCCUUCCCCGCCCUUCUCGUCCUCUCCCUCUCCCUCCUCCUCUGUCGCCUCCGACGACGAUACAUUUUCGCCGACGCCGACACCGUGGAGGUCGUUGCGGCGCUGCAGCCUCGAAGCGGACGGUCCUUAGCGGCGUUGUCGCUGGCGUCGUGGCCUUUGGCAGAGAGGAGUGACAAAAAAAAUUAUAGAAGAAGCAAGAAAAAAAAUAAAGAUAAAAAAUUAUAGAAAAGAAAAGAUAAAGAUAAAAUUGCGCCUUUAAAAUAAAAUUGUACUGUUUUAAAAAAACGUUGCACUAUUAUGGAUAUAAGUUGCACUACUUAAGAUAUAAACUGCAGCUUUAAGAUAAAAAUUACACUAUUUAAACAAAAAUUACACUUUUUGGGAGAUAUUUUCACUGUUUUUUCUUUUAUUGUACUCUUUCAGAUGUAAACUGCAUCUAUUAAGAUGAAAGUUAUACUCUUUAAAUGAACAUUGCACUCUUUGAGAGAUAUUUACACUGUUUAUCCUCUUCUUGCACCCUUUGAGAUGUAAACUACAUUUCUUUAAGAGAUAUUUAUACCGUUUCUCCUAUUGUUGCACUGUUUCUCCUCUUAUUAUACUAUUUCUCUUAUUAUUACACUAUUUUUUCUCUUAAAUGAUCCAGUUUAAGAGGAGAUCGAGAAGAAAUAGUAUAACAAGAGAAGAAACAGUGAAACAAGAGGAUAAGCAGUAUAAAUUCUCUUAAAGGGGUGCAGUCUACAUCUCAAAGAGUGCAACAAGAGGAGAAACGUACAGUAUAAAUAUUUCUCAAAGAGUGCAACUUUCGUUUAAAGAGUGUAACUUUCAUCUUAAUGGAUACAGUUUACACCUGAAAAAAUGCAAUAAGAGGAGAAACAGUGUAAAUAUCUCCCAAAUAGUGUAAUUUUCGUUUAAAGAGUGUAAUUUGUAUUUUAAAACUGCAGUUUACAUCUUAAAUAGUGAACUUAUAUCCAUAAUAGUACAACAUUUUUUUAAAAUAAUGCAAUUUUAUUUUAACGGUGUAAUUUCAUCUUCAUUUUUCUUAUCUUUAUUUUUUUUCUUACUUCUUCUAUAAUUUUUUUUUGUCACCCCUUUGCCAACGGACACGGCGCCGGCGACGACGCUGCUAAGGACUCUUCGUUCCGAGGCUGCAGCGCCGCAACGACCUCCACGAUGUCGGCGUCAGCGAAGAUGCGUCGUCGUCGGAGGCGGCAGAGGACGAGGACGAUGGACAGGGAGAGGACGAGAAAGACGGGGAAGGGCGAGAGAUGUGUCAUCGUCGUCGGAGACGGUGGAGGAGAGUUGGAGAGGAAAAAUAAAAAGAGUCGCGGCGCGGCUUCGGUGGGGUCGGAGGCUAGGAAGGUGGGAGGUGCGCGGGCACGGGCGAGGACGAGGCCGAGGGCGAGAGCAUGAGGAUGAGAGGCGAGGCGGGCCAUUUCCGCUUCCACCAUUCUCCGCUGCCUCUUUAGCGAGAGAAAAAAAAACGAACGAGAGAAAAAAAGAGGAGAGAGAAAGAGGAGAGAGAAAAAAUAAUAAGAAUAUUUUGGUCGGUUUACUGAAAAUCCGGUUCGAAUAUGUAAAAUGAAAAAAAGUGGCUCAUUUUUGCAAAAGCCGAAAACUAGUGGAUUUUUUAUGCAAAUUGGCCAUAUAUAAAAGCUCAUCUGCUUUUUAAAAUAGCACGCAGAUCAUGCCAUACACCAACUGCCUAUUAAAGACUAUUUGUGAAGACUCAAAUUAAUUAAGCAAUCCCCAAUGAAUUGAUUCCAUUGCUCCUAGUACUUCAAUUCCAUAUAUCUACAGUCCUUGGUGUUGUGGCUAACUUGCUAAUAUGCAUAUCUCUCUUCGGAUAUUUCUCUAGAAUAUUGUAGGAUUAGCAAAUUUAUAUUCCUCGAUCGAUCCUUAUUUGGCUUUUAUUUAAGAAUAAUAAAAUUUGAAGGAGGCACCGUAAUUGAAACGUAAAAUUGAAAUAUAAAACUCAAACAGACAGUUUUGAAAUACCUUUGAAAAAAAAUAUUUUUAUAUAUGCAAGAUCCUAAAUUACAGAAAUGAAAUUGAUAUUUAAAUUUCUUUUUUUGAGAGAAUUGUAAUAUAUAUGCUACUUACUUCAUUUAUUGUUUUAAAAACAAACUUAACUGAAAAUGUGAAGCAUGCAACUAGAUUUUAAACAUUGAAUCUCAAGUAUCAAUACCAAACUCGAUCGUUACCACUUGUACUAGGGACGAUAGAUGAAAUUGGUAUUUAAAUUUUAAACCCCAAAUUUUGAAGGGCGAGUAUAAACCCUAGUUAGUUAAUUCGCGAAUAAUACGCGAAUUAUUCGCGUACUUUUAAAAAUACGAAUUAAACGGGGCGUCCCGUAUUUUUCCAAAAAAUUAGGAAAAAAAUGUGAUUUUUUCCUAAAAAUAAUUAUUCGCGAAUUAUUCGCGAUUCGGGAAUAAUUGGCCCAAAAAAUCGACGAUCGGCCGAGGGUCGCGUCGUCGCCGCUCGCGUCGUCGUCGUCCUCUGCCGCCCUCGCCGGCGCCGAGAGCAAGGGCCACGGCUGCGGAUCCUGUCUCGUCGCGAGCUCGCGUCGUCGUCGUCCUCUGGCCGGCCCUCGCCGGUACCGGAGCAACGCAUGCUACGGACCCGUCUCGCCUCUGCGGAAAAGUGAAAGAUGAACAGAAAAAAAAAUCGGGGCUCAUGAGGCAUGAUGGUGCGCGCGCGGCACGAGACCAUUUCUACCUCGUGGACGCAUGAGGGAGGUCCACAGUGGACCUCCCUCUUUUAUAUAUAUAUAUAUAUAUAUAUAUAUAUAUAAUAUAUAUUAUAUAAAUAAAUUUAUUUUUAUUUUUAUAUAGAAAUAUUUAUAUGAUAUUUUAUUUAUAAAUUUGUAAUUAUUUAUUAAUAUUUUUAAAUAUAUUAAUAUUAUAUAUUAUUAAUAUAUGUUUAUUAUUAAUAUAUGAAUAUAUUUAAUUUAUAUAUAAAAAUAAUAAUAAUAAUAAUAUAUAUAGUAUAUUAAUUAUUAUAUAUUUAAUAUAUAGUCGAAUUUUUGAUUCCGAAUUUUUAAUUGGUGAACGUAUAAUAUCCGUAUAAAUCACGUAUCCGAAUAAUUACCGAAUCCGUUUUUUAGCCGUAUUUUUUAACGAAUUUUAAAAUUAAAAGACGAAUUUUAUCCGAAUUAUAUCCGUACCGAAUUCUUGCCGAAUCCGAAUUAACUAACUAUGGUAUAAACUCCCUCAUAAAAGUUAGUGGAAGUAAAAAACAACAACAACAACAACAACAACAACAACAAAAAAAAAAGGCAAGUUAGCCAAAAUAGUUGGUCAACAGAAUGAGUCCACUAUAUAUGAAUAAUCCCAUUUGCUCCCUUUCCCUUGAUGGCCACUUUCGUUUCUCUGCGCUAUACUGCUCUAUUAGAUAUUAUUAGAUGGAUAGUAUAGUAUAAUAUAGUAUAGUAUAGUAUAAUCACACACUUUCCUCAGAAAAGCAUACAUAGCAUUUUCGCACAUAGGUAUGGGGUGACUCCCACCCCAAUGAAAAAUUUUGCUUUGAAAUCCGCGCAAGUGCGUUUUGCAUUCCCCACAAACACGCUCUCUCAUCCCCAGAAUCCCCUAAAAAUCCACAGGCUAUGCUCCAAAAUUAUGCAUCUCUCUCUCUCUCUCUCUCUCUCUCUCUCUCUCUCUCUCUCUCUCUUGCUUGUUUCUUAUAUACUCACCCCCCUUGCACCCCUUUUGCCUCCCUAUAACUAGCCACUCCCAUCUCCACAAACUCCCAAAACCCAUCUCAAAAAUCCAUCCUCAUCCAAAAUCCAAAACCCAAAGCAUUACUAGAUCUCUUGUUCAUGGAAACCAUGCUCUUGUUGCUUUAUUCAGAUUCAGAUGGCCCUCCGAGCUGGGUAAAACCAACUUCAAAAUUAUAUGAGGAGAUCAAAACCAAGGAAUGGAGCCGAGCUUUUGAAGCUUUGCCCACUUCUCCUCUACUGAUCUACUCUCCAUUUCAUGUAGAGUACGUAUAUAUGUAAGCGAGGAGGUGGCAUAGCAUGCACUAUAUAUGUGGGGAAUUGAGGGUUCAUGGUCCGAUCGAUCUCUUCUAGGUAUCUCAAACACUACUUUCUCUCUUUUUUCUUUUUUCUUUUUUUAGUUUCUUUUCUUGUUUCGUUUUUUUUUUUUUUUUUUUUUUUGGGUGGGUUUUACUUUGUUGGUUUCGGUUUCUCUUCUCUACUUAGUUUUCCACUAGUAUGUGGGUUCUUCUAGUUUAAGUUUGUGGGUGAAGAACAUGCAUGUUUUGUAAGCGACGCAUUCGUAGUGUUAUAUUAUAUUAUAUAAUUAAUCUACUGUGAAAGGGUGUGUGUGUGUGUGUGUGUGUGUGUGUGUGUGUGUGUGUGUGUGUGUGUUUACAUGGAUGUUUAUGUUGUUUGGCAGCUGGGAUCUGGUACUGGGAAUGCAUCACUUACACUCGUCAUGUUAUGUUCUCCCGCUACCAAGAAUCUACUUAUGAUGAGCAGAUGAUAAUAUUAUAUAUAUAUUAUAUAUAUAUAUAUAUAUAUAUAUGGUUUGGUGUCCUAUGUAUGUAUGAGUUUGUAGCUUUGUGCACAUGAGAAUAUAGUUUCGUAUUUGGCUUGUCCUUAAAUUGAAUCCCACUAAAAAUUUGGGAUCUCUUGUUAUUUUCUUUUAAUAUAAGUUUUUUCCCUUGUUGAAAUGAAUUAAUAUAUAUAUUCGGGGCAGGGAAUAUUCAGCAAAUAGGUCAGAAUAUAUAGGCAUGCCAACCUGGGCUGAACUGCUUUAAUGCCUUUUCUCAGAGUUCUCAUAACGCUGCUUUUAAUUAUAUAGGGACACCUUUUGAUUUAUUCACUCAUGCAGUGAGUGCAGUGUAAGUGUGUUAUAUGUGCUUUUUAGUACAUCAAUAAUCUCUAUAAAAGAACCCAAAUUAAGUACCUAUUCUCAAGCAAAAUUUUUUUUUUUUUCUUUUGUUUCUGCUUUUGAGAUAAUGCAUGGCAGCAUGUAUCUGCUUCUUUAAUUUUUUUAAAAAUAAAUUUAGUUAGAAAUUUGAAGUAAUCAUAUUUUGAAUUUAGCAUCUCAAGCUAGAUAUCAAACCUUUUAUCACUUACGCUAGAGACGUCCGGUCAAACAAUCAUAUUUGUACACUUAAAAAUGAGAUAUAAAUAUAUAUCUCACGCGCUCCUCACCGUCCAAGGACCAACAUUUUUACAUUAGUUUUGUCAUUUUUAUUUAUUUUGUAUUAAAAAUUUUAAAAAAUUGUCUAAAUUUUUGAGAAAAAAUGCUACAUGAACACCACUAAACUAAGUAUAGAUCUGAUAAUCUAUUCAUUUAAAGACUAUUGUUUUUGGACUUUUGUCAAUUUAACCCUUUAAAUACUUAUAAUUAGUCAAAUGAUACUGUAAAAAUUUUGUUUCACCAAAUAACUCUAUUUUGUCCAAUCCAGCAACAAGAUAGAAGAACAAUUGAAAAACGGUCAAUUGCUUACCGUCUUUAAUGAAUUUAGAAAACGGUGAAUUAAUUAUCAUUUUUUUAAAUAAAGAAAAUAGUAAAUAAUUUAUUUUUUUUUUCAUAUAUAAUCCUAACAACUAUAUAAAAAUUUAAAUAAAUUACAUACAAUUCUAACAACUUAUCCAUACAAUUUUAACAAUCAAAUAAAAAUUCAAACAGCUUAUGUACAAUCCUAACUACCUCACAAAAAUUCUCACAAUAUAUAAACAAUUUAAAAACAGUGAAUGAUUUACAGCUUUCUAAAGGUGGUGAAUAAUUUACCAAUAUGAUACUGAGUUGGCAAAAAAAGAGUUAGUUGGCCAAAUAAAAAUUUUAAAAGGAUUAUUCGACAAAUUAAAAUUUUUUAUAUAAUUAUUAUAAAAAAAGUCAUUAUUUUUUAUUAGUCUUAUCAAUUUUUUAUUUAAUACUAAAAAUUUAAAAAGGUUUUAGUGAUUCUAAGACAACUGAGGUGUAAGAUAUAUAUCUAUCUAUCUACAUAUAGGUGAUAAGUAGUAUAUUUACUUACAUAUAGGUGUAUUAAUAGCAUCUUUUAUUGUUUGAAUGGUGGGGGUGCAUUUCUGGUUAUUCUCUCUCUAUCUACUACUAAUAUGUGAGCAUUGUAAAUUCAGGGUGCUUUAGUUACUACUAUUGAUUAGUUGGCAACAUCAUGUUAAGAGUAAAUCGAUCAAUUCUUUUUUUUCGACAAUUAAGAAAAACAAAAAUUGGAUUCAAAUCUUGAUAUAUUUGUAGAUAUAUAGAGCCUCUGUUCAUGUGAUUCUAUCAACAAUUUUUGUAUUUUAUAUAUUUAUAUUUACAUAUGCUUCCAAAUCAAUUAACACAUUUGAGCAACAUUAAUUCUUGGUAGUACUAGCAGUAAAUAUACUCUUUGCUAAAUUAUAGAAANUUUAUAAGUAAAUUUUCUAUAAUUUAGCAAAGAGUAUAUUUACAUAUGCUUCCAAAUCAAUUAACACAUUUGAGCAACAUUAAUUCUUGGUAGUACUAGCAGUAAAUAUACUCUUUGCUAAAUUAUAGAAAAUUUACUUAUAAAUAUUUUUUUUUUUUUACUUUGUCUCUCUAAUUUAAUAUUUUAAAUUGUUGCAUUUAAUUAAUUAGCUCCCCCUCCGCCAGGGUUCCAUCACUAUUAUUCCGUCCAUAUUUUACAAUUUAUACUAAAAAUACCCUUCAAAUGACAGAAAUAUAUUAAAAAUUACUUUUUCUUAUAAUUUAUGCUGUUUAUUUUUUAUAAUUUAUAUCGAAAAUAUUGUUUAAAAUAACAAAAAUAUGUUAAAUUUUUUUUUUUUUUUAUAGGAACAGUAAAGAUAGUUUGCUUAUUUUGCCCUCUUAAUUUAUUAGCACCUUACCUUGCUGAAAAUAUUUCUAAAAUUUUAAUUAGACAAAAUAUAUAUUUUAAAAAGUAAAAAAAGUAAAUAUUUAUAAAUAUAUAUAUUUUUUGUAUUUUAACCUAUAUACUUUAUUAAAUGAAGGGGGUACUGUGUUGGGGGACAUGGGAGCAGGGGACGACGUCCUCUUCCUAUUCCUCACUCUGUACCUGUUUGAAUCUCUGUUGUUGUGGGUUUUGAAGUGAUGGAUGAUGCAUGUGGAUCAAUUGAAUUCAAGAGAGAGAGAGAGAGAGAGAGAGAGAGAGAGAGAGCAAAAGAGAGAGAGCAAAAGAGAGAGAGACGCAACAUUAAUUAUAUUAGUGCUCUCUGACAUUCACUGCCGAAUUGUACAAGAAUUACACAUUUACAUGAAAAGGACUUGAGCUUUGAUCAUGCAUUGGAUACUCAUCUUCUGUUAUGCAAUUUCGUGAUGUAGAUUUUGAAGUACAACGAGAUAAUAAUCUUUAAAUUUGGGCCAGGAACUAAUUGUUGACGCUUUAUGAAUUAAUUACGGCCAUAAAAAGGUCUUGUUAUGGCAUUAUUAUGCCUGUUUCAUGACAGGUAAACUGAUGCAAUGAUUUCUUAUGAUUUUUUUUUACUAUAUAUUUAAUUUUAAGGCAACAGUUUCAACCAAAAGAAAAACUACAAAAGUUAAGAUAAAGACCAUGCCAUGCAUAUCGUGAUCGACCUUCACAUGCACGGUAGAUCUACAUUCCAAGCAAACUACAUUUAAAUCAAUUUGUAAACUUCCAUGUGCAAAAUCUUCUCUCUUUUUCAAAUUAAUCUGAAGCACUCAUCUUAAUUAAUAAAAUAUUCGCUUAUUCUACCUGAUUGCUCAGCACCGCUUCUAGUAAAUUCAUGUUCCAGGUAAAUAAUAAGGAUUGUUCGUUAUUUUUUCAAAACUUGCGUAACAUACUAUAAAACAGUGCUCUUAAUAUUUAUAUUGAAUGCUAUGAAUCUUUUAAUGAAAUUAAGCAAUAAUAUUUAGCAUAUGGUUUAUACGUUUUUUCCUCACUGUUUGGAACUAGUAAGUAAUAUUAUAAUUAUAGAUUUGUAGCUCAAUUAAGACGAUUUGUAAAAAUGGAAGUAAUUAAAAAAAACUAAAAAUUUCUGUACAAUUAAAAGCAUUAAUGUUCUCCCAUUUAGGUUUCUUUAAAAAAGCCAUGCUAUAGUCAAUAUUCUAAAAUUCGAUCUAAGUAGUAGAACCAGUAAACGAAGAUAUAUAUAUAACUUAACGGUCAAAUUAAAUUUUAUCGAGACUUAAUUUAAA
rnacentral:lncRNA from 1 species